rnacentral:lncRNA from 1 species
GGCCGAUAGCCGAGGCCGUUCAAUGACACAACGACGAGGUCUGGCCUUCCCCAUUCCUCUUUUCAUGUUGUGGCAUUAUCGAACUCAUGUAAUGACUGAUUUUGUACUACUGUUGGUUGCAUUGGUGAUGGUUUUACAAGUGUGGAAACAAAGCUAGUGUCCUAUUUUGCUUGUAUAUUAAGAGUUCGCCUAUGAGUCUCCUAUAUGUACUGGUGAUGCUACUUCAUCUCUACUUGUUGUGAAAUAAGUUUUUUUUUGAUUUGCUUACAAGAAAUGAAAUAUCCUUCUUGGCGUUUCUUUGUUGCCAAAUAAAGCUAUUGUUUGAUUGACACCACCUUCUUGCAUCAAGUGACACCAAACAUGUUUAAUUGAAUGUUCACAAGAAAUGAUCACACACCAAGGUGACACCCUCAAUUUGAAACUAAUUUUAGAUCAGUGCAAUUCUUAUUUUUAUUCAGUACUCUUUGUGCGAAUGAUUCCUGGUUGCUUCUCCUGUUCUGAACUUGUUGCUCAAUUGCAUAGGUAUUGCCAGAGUACUAUCUAGUCUGAAGCUAGCUACACAUUCGCACAUGAGUCGGUGCUCCUGAAGUGCUCUAAUUAGCAAUAGAAAAUGACAAGGGAGUGCAUCCAAAAGAUAGGUGGCAAGCAUGCCUGCUACGGUGUGUUGAUAACUGAAUUGAAGGAUCUUCAGUAUAUGAACCACAAAAAGAGAGGUGAAUCCCGUACAAACAAAGAAGUGCAUGCAGUACAUCAGCUCAAGAUCCAAUGGUUCAAUUAUCUUUUGGUUUGGCAAAAUGCUUCUCUUGCAUGUUUUUUGUUUUGCUGUAAUUUUCAUCUAUAUCAUAGGA